UGCUUACACAUGCAAGUCGAACGAUGAAGCCUUUCGGGGUGGAUUAGUGGCGAACGGGUGAGUAACACGUGGGCAAUCUGCCCUUCACUCUGGGACAAGCCCUGGAAACGGGGUCUAAUACCGGAUAACACUCUGUCCCGCAUGGGACGGGGUUAAAAGCUCCGGCGGUGAAGGAUGAGCCCGCGGCCUAUCAGCUUGUUGGUGGGGUGAUGGCCUACCAAGGCGACGACGGGUAGCCGGCCUGAGAGGGCGACCGGCCACACUGGGACUGAGACACGGCCCAGACUCCUACGGGAGGCAGCAGUGGGGAAUAUUGCACAAUGGGCGAAAGCCUGAUGCAGCGACGCCGCGUGAGGGAUGACGGCCUUCGGGUUGUAAACCUCUUUCAGCAGGGAAGAAGCGAAAGUGACGGUACCUGCAGAAGAAGCGCCGGCUAACUACGUGCCAGCAGCCGCGGUAAUACGUAGGGCGCAAGCGUUGUCCGGAAUUAUUGGGCGUAAAGAGCUCGUAGGCGGCUUGUCACGUCGGAUGUGAAAGCCCGGGGCUUAACCCCGGGUCUGCAUUCGAUACGGGCUAGCUAGAGUGUGGUAGGGGAGAUCGGAAUUCCUGGUGUAGCGGUGAAAUGCGCAGAUAUCAGGAGGAACACCGGUGGCGAAGGCGGAUCUCUGGGCCAUUACUGACGCUGAGGAGCGAAAGCGUGGGGAGCGAACAGGAUUAGAUACCCUGGUAGUCCACGCCGUAAACGUUGGGAACUAGGUGUUGGCGACAUUCCACGUCGUCGGUGCCGCAGCUAACGCAUUAAGUUCCCCGCCUGGGGAGUACGGCCGCAAGGCUAAAACUCAGAGGAAUUGACGGGGGCCCGCACAAGCAGCGGAGCAUGUGGCUUAAUUCGACGCACCGCGAAGAACCUUACCAAGGCUUGACAUAUACCGGAAAGCAUCAGAGAUGGUGCCCCCCUUGUGGUCGGUAUACAGGUGGUGCAUGGCUGUCGUCAGCUCGUGUCGUGAGAUGUUGGGUUAAGUCCCGCAACGAGCGCAACCCUUGUUCUGUGUUGCCAGCAUGCCCUUCGGGGUGAUGGGGACUCACAGGAGACUGCCGGGGUC
rnacentral:rRNA from 1 species